CCUACGGGAGGCAGCAGUGGGGAAUCUUGGGCAAUGGAGGCAACUCUGACCCAGCAAUGCCGCGUGAGUGAUGAAGGUAAUUUUAUUGUAAAGCUCUUUUCUUUGGAACGAAUAAAUGACGGUACCAAAGGAAUAAGCCCCGGCUAACUACGUGCCAGCAACCGCGGUAAUAAGUAAGGGGCAGCCGUUGUUCGGAAUAACUGGGCGUAAAGGGUGGGGAGGUGGGUUGAUAAGUUAGUUGUGGAAUACCCAGGGCUUAACUCGGGUGCUGCAUCUAAAACUGUUAGACUUGAGUACUGGAGAGGAUAGUGGAAUUCCUAGUGUAGCGGUGGAAUGCGUAGAUAUUAGGAGGAACAUCAGUGGCGAAGGCGACUAUCUGGACAGCAACUGACACUGAGGCACGAAAGCGUGGGGAGUAAACAGGAUUAGAUACCCCUGUAGUC
rnacentral:rRNA from 1 species